rnacentral:lncRNA from 1 species
CCAAUUGCCUUAUCAAAGGUCUUUACCUACUUGGGGACAAAAAUAAACAAGCACAAACAUUGCCUCUUAAGGAGGACUUCAGACAGGUGCCUGGCCAAGUAACAGGCCAGGUCUUCCAGACUACAUGGAGUUAGAUUCAUUAUACCUCAAUGCUCAAGCUCUUAAGCAAAGCAAAAGCAAGUUCACAAAGGAACUAUAGCAACUAAGGUACCUGAAAACAAUCCAGCACAGUCAAUACACAACUCAAACAAAAAGUCAAACAGAAAAUUACAAGUCCACAGCACAAACAGAUAACAAGCAUCAAUGCACAAAGGUGCAAGCCACAAGGCCUAAGCAUAAGUCUCAAUGCCUAUAAAAC